rnacentral:rRNA from 1 species
AGAGCGAACGCUGGCGGCAGGCUUAACACAUGCAAGUCGAGCGGGCGUAGCAAUACGUCAGCGGUAGACGGGUGAGUAACGCGUGGGAACAUACCUUUUGGUUCGGAACAACACAGGGAAACUUGUGCUAAUACCGGAUAAGCCCUUACGGGGAAAGAUUUAUCGCCGAAGGAUUGGCCCGCGUCUGAUUAGCUAGUUGGUGAGGUAACGGCUCACCAAGGCGACGAUCAGUAGCUGGUCUGAGAGGAUGAUCAGCCACAUUGGGACUGAGACACGGCCCAAACUCCUACGGGAGGCAGCAGUGGGGAAUAUUGGACAAUGGGCGCAAGCCUGAUCCAGCCAUGCCGCGUGAGUGAUGAAGGCCCUAGGGUUGUAAAGCUCUUUUGUGCGGGAAGAUAAUGACGGUUACCGCAAGAAUAAGCCCCGGCUAACUUCGUGCCAGCAGCCGC